UAUAAGGAGUGAUUGCGUUAACAGAGGUUUAUGCUAACUACCUGGAAAGUAUUACUACUUUGGAAGGAGGGGAUAUUGCCUGAUGUCAAAACCGGGGCAUAAAAAAAGCGCCCGCAGGCGCUUUUUUA
rnacentral:sRNA from 1 species